rnacentral:rRNA from 2 species
AGAGUUUGAUCCUGGCUCAGAUUGAACGCUGGCGGCAGGCCUAACACAUGCAAGUCGAGCGGUAACAUUUCUAGCUUGCUAGAAGAUGACGAGCGGCGGACGGGUGAGUAAUGCUUGGGAACGUGCCGUAAGGUGGGGGACAACCAUUGGAAACGAUGGCUAAUACCGCAUAAUGUCUACGGACCAAAGGGGGCUUCGGCUCUCGCCUUAUGAUCGGCCCAAGUGGGAUUAGCUAGUUGGUAAGGUAAUGGCUUACCAAGGCGACGAUCCCUAGCUGGUUUGAGAGGAUGAUCAGCCACACUGGAACUGAGACACGGUCCAGACUCCUACGGGAGGCAGCAGUGGGGAAUAUUGCACAAUGGGCGCAAGCCUGAUGCAGCCAUGCCGCGUGUGUGAAGAAGGCCUUAGGGUUGUAAAGCACUUUCAGUAAGGAGGAAAGGUUAGUAGUUAAUACCUGCUAGCUGUGACGUUACUUACAGAAGAAGCACCGGCUAACUCCGUGCCAGCAGCCGCGGUAAUACGGAGGGUGCGAGCGUUAAUCGGAAUUACUGGGCGUAAAGCGUACGCAGGCGGUUUGUUAAGCGAGAUGUGAAA